GACAGAGGGCGCGAACGUUGUUCGGAAUUACUGGGCGUAAAGGGUUUGUAGGUGGCUUGUUAAGUCAGACGUGAAAUCCCUCAGCUUAACUGGGGAACUGCGUCUGAUACUGGCGAGCUUGAGUGCAGGAGAGGAACGCGGAAUUCCAGGUGUAGCGGUGAAAUGCGUAGAUAUCUGGAGGAACACCGGUGGCGAAGGCGGCAUCCUGGACCGACACUGACGCUGAGGCGCGAAAGCUAGGGGAGCAAACGGG
rnacentral:rRNA from 1 species